rnacentral:rRNA from 1 species
GACGAACGCUGGCGGCGUGCUUAACACAUGCAAGUCGAACGGAAAGGCCCUGCUUUUGUGGGGUGCUCGAGUGGCGAACGGGUGAGUAACACGUGAGUAACCUGCCCUUGACUUUGGGAUCACUUCAGGAAACUGGGGCUAAUACCGGAUAGGAGCCUCUGCCGCAUGGUGGGGGUUGGAAAGUUUGGGCGGUUGGGGAUGAACUCGCGGCUUAUCCGCUUGUUGGUGGGGUAGUGGCUUACCAAGGCUUUGACGGGUAGCCGGCCUGAGAGGGUGACCGGCCAAAUUGGGACUGGAAUACGGCCCGGACUCCUACGGGGGGCAGCGGUGGGGAAUAUUGCACAAGGGGCGGAAGCCGGAGGCAGCAACGCCGCGGGCGGAAUGACGGCCUUCGGUUGGUAAACCGCUUUCGCCUGUGACGAAGCGUGAGUGACGGUAAUGGGUAAAGAAGCACCGGCUAACUACGUG